UACGUAGGGUGCGAGCGUUGUCCGGAAUUAUUGGGCGUAAAGAGCUUGUAGGCGGUUUGUCGCGUCUGCUGUGAAAAUCCGGGGUUCAACCCCGGACUUGCAGUGGGUACGGGCAGACUAGAGUGUGGUAGGGGAGACUGGAAUUCCUGGUGUAGCGGUGAAAUGCGCAGAUAUCAGGAGGAACACCGAUGGCGAAGGCAGGUCUCUGGGCCACUACUGACGCUGAGAAGCGAAAGCAUGGGGAGCGAACAGG
rnacentral:rRNA from 1 species